GCAAAGGUUAUACCUUUAAUCCUGUGAAACCAUUUCCCCCCUUUUCAUCUGUUUCUUUACCUAUUUCCGCCGUUAAGGUUCAACACCAUUCUCUCUUCAACUCACAUCGUGAGUCUCUUUUUUUUCUUUCACCACCGACCCCUAAAAUCAGUUUUCAUUACGCGUGAUUUUUCCUUCCUUCUGAUCGACACCAACAUCAGUUUUCUUCUAUCGGCGACAGUAACAAAGAUAUAAUGUCUAGGAAAAAAUUAAGUGAUUUGCGGAUUGUUCGAACUCCUCAAGAGAAGGAAGAAACAAAUAAUGAAGAGUCGAUUGGUGUUGCAUCUAACAAAGUUCUGAAUACAAUUGAAGAAACUGUACAAUUGAAGCUGAAAAUGGUCAAAGGCGCAAGAGUAGAGGUCGUACGAUAAUGAAGAAAUUGUACCAACUUCCUCUUGGGGACCACGUGAGAGUUUCAACUAACGAUGUCGGUCAACCUAUUGGGAUAAAAGAUGUGUUCUAUCAGGUUACCUAGGCAUUAUUGUACGCAAUGCAAGUCUUAUACCAAUCAAUUAUGAGUCAUGGCUUGAGAUGCUGAAUAGUAGCAAAAACCAAGCUGUUGAUUGC